CUGACCAGUUGCCUCUGAUAAUUUGUCUCUAGAGAUUUCAUUUGAACUUCUUGCCUCUGAUAAGAUGUCUCUGGUGAAAGUCAAUAUUAUGACAAAAGCCAACUUCCAAAAAAGUCAAUGUUAUGGUUAAAGUCAACGUCUAGGAAAAAGUAAACAUCCAAUAAAAAGUCAACUUUUGGAAAACAUAAACACAUAUGGCAAAAAAGUCUACAUUGGAAAAAGUCAACGCCUCUGGUUAAAUUUAACUCUAACAUAGUCAGUGUCGCUGAUAGUCUGCCUUUGGUCAUUUACCUUUGUUUCUUGUUGUUGCCUCUGGUCUAGUAAACCUGGCUUUGGUUAUUGCUUCUGGUAUAGUAAUUCUGCCUCUGGUCAAUUAAUAUUGCUUUUGGUCAUUGCAUGUGGUCAAAAAAUCAUGUCUCUGGUGUUCCUGCAUCUGAUCAAUAAAUCAUGCUCUAAUUGCUCUUGCCUUUUGUUCUAAUAAUUGUGCCUUUGGUCCAGCAAUCGCGCCUCUGAUUUCUAUUGCCUCUAGUCCAAUAAUCAGAUAUUUGAAAAAGAGCAUCUUGGUCGUGUUCAAGCAAUGGACAUGGGUGUGGUUCCUACUAUUGCUUUCAAGCACACCACCACACGACUUCAUGGUAUGAAGUUUGGUUCUUCAAGUGGUAGUUCUUCAUUGGUGGAACAAAAACUUGCAAUUAUGGAGGCUCACUUAAAAGUACUUAUUGACUACGUUUGUGCGAAAGAAGGUGGUACACUCUGUGUGGACUUUAGCUACCUCAUUUGUCAAUCCUACACAAUAGAUGUAGGAAGUGGACCUAAUAAGAUAAUUGGAUGCAAGUAAUGUACAUGGAGGAAAUCAAAGUCUUUCUAAUGACACUUGAAUUGAUUAUGUUAUUUUUAUGUUUUGAAAUUGGUUUAUUUCAAGAAUAGCUUAAGAUAAUGACAUGUGAAUGGUUUUGUCAUUUUUAGGUUGAGACUUGUUUAAUUUUUGGGAAUAGCUAAAGAUAUUUGUAUCAAAUUUAUUUAUUAAGUAGUUAUGCUCUUAAUGUA